GGGGGAUCAGCACCCGGCACUGGGCGGCUCCCCUCGGAGCCAACAGGAAACAGCGUACAUUGCUGGUCUGACGGGUGAGAUUGGCAGGAGUGCCAGAGCUGCUGGGGGCAGAGUCGGGGGUGAGGACAGAGGGCCUGGGUGCAGGGUGUCGCGGUCCUCUCUCCCCCUGCUCUGCCCUCAAGCCGCAGGCAUCCGCCUGACUCGCCCUUGAGCGGCCUGGCUUCCAGCUGCUGCUCACUGGCCCUCCCCUGGGGCUGAGGAGAACCUCGAGAGCAGCAACACUGGAGGACAGGGAGGGGGUGCAGGCGACAUGAGGAAAGCCGCAAGGAUUGGGAAGAGAGCACCCAACUCCUCUGAGAGCAUUUGGCCUACACCUGAGGGUGGACCAGGAGACACCAGGUUCCUACUCAGUGGGAUGGCAAGAACAUCAUCCAGGCCAAAGCUCCCUCCCAGGGCCUUGUGAGGACAACGCAACAGGUCAGCUGUCAAGUGACCCACCAGAGGAGAAGCGCUGGCUGUGAAUAUCGGAGCAGCCCCUGGGCCUCUCUCCCCCAGGGUUCCAGGGCCGCUUGCUCUGCCAGCUACAGAGGCAUCCUCGUUUCUGUUUUCUG
rnacentral:lncRNA from 1 species